GAUGAACGCUGGCGGCGUGCCUAACACAUGCAAGUCGAACGAAGCACCUUUUGAGAUUCUUCGGAUGAUCAAUCGGUGACUGAGUGGCGGACGGGUGAGUAACGCGUGGGUAACCUGCCCUGUACAGGGGGAUAACAGCUGGAAACGGCUGCUAGUACCGCAUAAGCGCACGAGGAGACAUCUCCUAGUGUGAAAAACUCCGGUGGUACAGGAUGGGCCCGCGUCUGAUUAGCUGGUUGGCAGGGUAACGGCCUACCAAGGCAACGAUCAGUAGCCGGUCUGAGAGGAUGAACGGCCACAUUGGAACUGAGACACGGUCCAAACUCCUACGGGAGGCAGCAGUGGGGAAUAUUGCACAAUGGGGGAAACCCUGAUGCAGCAACGCCGCGUGAGUGAAGAAGUAUUUCGGUAUGUAAAGCUCUAUCAGCAGGGAAGAUAAUGACGGUACCUGACUAAGAAGCUCCGGCUAAAUACGUGCCAGCAGCCGCGGUAAUACGUAUGGAGCAAGCGUUAUCCGGAUUUACUGGGUGUAAAGGGUGCGUAGGUGGCAGUGCAAGUCAGAUGUGAAAGGCCGGGGCUCAACCCCGGAGCUGCAUUUGAAACUGCUCGGCUAGAGUACAGGAGAGGCAGGCGGAAUUCCUAGUGUAGCGGUGAAAUGCGUAGAUAUUAGGAGGAACACCAGUGGCGAAGGCGGCCUGCUGGACUGUUACUGACACUGAGGCACGAAAGCGUGGGGAGCAAACAGG
rnacentral:rRNA from 1 species